AUUUAUUUAUUUUAUUUUUUAGAAAAUGAUUAAGCUAGUUCGUAGUCAACUCAACAACUGUUUCCCUGGCAACGGCGCCAAAAAUGCUUGUUGACACUUGCUAACACCACUUGAAUACUAGGUUGUCAUCCCGAGCAUGGCACUAGAGUGUACUAUGGUAUUUAUACGCACACAGAUAAUCCGCAAGCGCACGGAUACCGUUGAAGCUUUUACCCGGUUAAAGGUUUUAUCGUAUCCACAUGGAAACGAGGGAACCAACUACGCUCUAACUUAACCAAGAUAGAUAGAUAAGUGUAAAUAGGAAAGAUGGUAGAUUUGAAUAAGAACAAUUUUAAUGGUAAGAUAACAAUGGGUG
rnacentral:lncRNA from 1 species